rnacentral:rRNA from 1 species
CCUACGGGUGGCAGCAGUGGGGAAUAUUGGACAAUGGGGGGAACCCUGAUCCAGCCAUGCCGCGUGUGUGAAGAAGGCCCUCGGGUUGUAAAGCACUUUCAGUGAGGAAGAACGCCUGGUGGUUAAUACCCAUCAGGAAAGACAUCACUCACAGAAGAAGCACCGGCUAACUCCGUGCCAGCAGCCGCGGUAAUACGGAGGGUGCGAGCGUUAAUCGGAAUUACUGGGCGUAAAGCGCGCGUAGGUGGCUUGAUAAGCCGGUUGUGAAAGCCCCGGGCUCAACCUGGGAACGGCAUCCGGAACUGUCAAGCUAGAGUGCAGGAGAGGAAGGUAGAAUUCCCGGUGUAGCGGUGAAAUGCGUAGAGAUCGGGAGGAAUACCAGUGGCGAAGGCGGCCGUCUGGACUGACACUGACACUGAGGUGCGAAAGCGUGGGUAGCAAACAGGAUUAGAUACCCCAGUAGUC